AGCGUUGUCCGGAUUUAUUGGGCGUAAAGCGAGCGCAGGCGGUUUUUUAAGUCUGAUGUGAAAGCCUUCGGCUUAACCGAAGAAGUGCAUUAGAAACUGGGAAACUUGAGUGCAGAAGAGGACAGUGGAACUCCAUGUGUAGCGGUGAAAUGCGUAGAUAUAUGGAAGAACACCAGUGGCGAAGGCGGCUGUCUGGUCUGUAACUGACGCUGAGGCUCGAAAGUAUGGGGAGCGAACAGGAUUAGAUACCCUGGUAGUCCAUACCGUAAACGAUGAAUGCUAAGUGUUGGAGGGUUUCCGCCCUUCAGUGCUGCAGCUAACGCAUUAAGCAUUCCGCCUGGGGAGUACGACCGCAAGGUUGAAACUCAAAGGAAUUGACGGGGGCCCGCACAAGCGGUGGAGCAUGUGGUUUAAUUCGAAGCAACGCGAAGAACCUUACCAGGUCUUGACAUCCUUUGACCACUGUAGAGAUACAGCUUUCCCUUCGGGGACAAAGUGACAGGUGGUGCAUGGUUGUCGUCAGCUCGUGUCGUGAGAUGUUGGGUUAAGUCCC
rnacentral:rRNA from 1 species